CCUGUGGUCGUGAGCAACCUCAUUAAAGGUGUCGGCCGAGAAAGUACAGACAGGAGAAACUUGUUUUAAGAACGGAGUCAGACUUCAGAUCCUGUUAUUUACCUCACAUGGAAGAAGAGAGAUGGAACUUGUAACUUAAGACUUAAAGGAAUUUUAAAAUCUGGAUCCUUCACCAACAUCUAGAAGUCCCCUUGACAUCGACUGAGCUGUCUUGGGAGCGGGUUUGCGCUCCCCACGUUGGCUUCGUGCAGGUUGACUGAAGCUGCCCUUGACCUGACAUCGACCCUGAUGUCGCUCUUCACGUUCUGAGCAAACUCGGUUUGCAGUCCGGCUUCCCCUGCACGCUUUGUGUUUCCCGGCUACGGCGGUGUCACCAUCCGGUGGGAAAUCCUUUUCAGAAUGGAUCACUUGGCCCAUUACUGAUCAUCGUGUUUGUAAUAAAAAUAUUUAUCCAAGCCGGGCGCAGCAGUUACGGUGUGAAGCCCGGGCGGGCGGCCUCUUCAUGUCUCCACCUGCUCCUCCUCAGAGUUAAGGAUCUGCUAGCCGUUUUCUGCCUAGAGUGCAAUCUCUUACAAUGUUAGGGAAACUUUCUCUGACGGAGUUCCCACUUGUGUUAUCUGAUUUUCUUCCUCGGUAUUUGUAUUUAUGCAUUUGGGUAUGUGAGUUUGGAAGCUUCUAGAAGACAAAUUGGGUGGAUUAAAGGAAUAUUUUUCUUUCAAAAUCAUUUCUGCAAUCUUACUUGGAGUGUGUGUGUGUGUGUGUAUGUGUCAUAUUUUUUCUACUAGGCUAAUUAAGACAGCAAACCUAAGUAGACCACCUACUGCCAGCCCCUGCUAUCAGGUGCUUUCCCUAAGACCAUCUAAUGGUCACUGUUGGGCAGCCCGGGUGGCGCAGUGGUUUAGCGCCGCCUUCAGCCCAGGGCCCGAUCCUGGAGACCCGGGAUCGAGUUGCGCGUCAGGCUCCCUGCAUGGAGCCUGCU